GAGGGUGUAGCUCAGUGGUAGAGUGCAUGCCUAGCAUGCAGAGGGUCCCAGGUUCAAUCCCCAGUACCUCCA
rnacentral:tRNA from 1 species